CGUAUGUCUUCCCUUGUCUGAAGAUCUUUGUAAGCUAAAAAUAACCACACAGAAGAAAUAAGACUUGAACCAGGAAUGUCCAACCUACAGCCCAUGUAGCCCAACACAAAAUGGCAAUUUACUUAAGAAAAAAAUGAGAUUUUUUGUGAUUAUGUGUUGCAAUGUCAGGUGAAAUAAACAUACAUAUGCUCUUGCUAUUUGUACGCAUGCAUGGCUUAAGUUUUACAGUGAUGCGCAGCUUCUAAGCAUGUUAUCUUCCAAGCGCACAGAGUAGAAUUGACACCAUUAGAUGUUACAUGUGCUCAUGGUGACUUAGCGAGGCAGCAAUUAUCAAUAAUAUUUCAUCCUGCCAUUGCAACGUUAGGUGUUUAAUGUUAUUUAGAAGUCAGGUAAGCUUUCUUAUUUGACUAUUAAAAGGUACUUCCACACCUCAGUGGCGCCUCACACACUGCCUGCCACACUUUAGAAUUGGCCUUCCACCUCGCCCUGCAUCAGCAGCCUAGAGGCCUGUGGAGGUGCCCAAACCUUGCUUUCUAUUUUUCUGUCAAUUAAUUUUCAUAAUAAAAGUAAAUAAAGACCCUUAUCUAUUAUUAUUUUUUAAAUCCCAGCAUGGCUUUUACAGUGUUGCAAAAGAAAAAAGAACCCCCCUAAAGAAAAAUUACUGAUGAAGGAAGAUUGUUCAAUGAAAAGUGGACAGAUGACUACUUUUUUUGUCGAGACAAAUAGUAAGGCACUCUGCUUAAUUUGUGGGGAAUUUGUGCAAGUUUUCAAAGACUAUAAUUUGAAAAGGCAUUGUAUACAAAAGCAUGCUGCCAGAUUCAAUGCAUAGGAAGGACUGUGUCAUAAGGACAAAAUAGCAGAACUGAAAAAAAAGUCUGUCUUCUCAACAAAAUGUUUUCAAAAAGUUAAAUCUCAACAAAAUUUUUUUUCAAAAAGUUGCAACACUGUAAAAGCUAGUCAUGUGGUAGCACAUUUAAUAGCAAAAAAAAUCAAAACCAUUUACUGAUGGUAAGUUUAUCAAGCAAUGCAUAGAAAGUGUGGCAGAUAUAAUUUGCCCUGAAAAAAAGGGGGAUAUUUCUAAAUUUAGUUUGUCUCACCAGAGUAUAGCCAGGCAAAU